rnacentral:rRNA from 1 species
CCUACGGGAGGCAGCAGUGAGGAAUAUUGGUCAAUGGACGAGAGUCUGACCCAGCCAAGUAGCGUGAAGGAUGACUGCCCUAUGGGUUGUACACUUCUUUUAUAUGGGAAUAAAACGUUCCACGUGUGGGAUUUUGUAUGUACCCUAUGAAUAAGGAUCGGCGAACUCCGGGCCAGCAGCAGCGGUAAUACGGAGGAUCCGAGCGUUGUCCGGAUUUAUUGGGUUUAAAGGGAGAGUAGGUGGAUGGUUAAGGCAAUUGUGAAAGUUUGCGGCGCAACCGUAAAAUUGCAGUUGAAACUGGCAGUCUUGAGUACAGUAGAGGUGGGCGGAAUGCGUGGUGUAGCGGUGAAAUGCUUAGAUAUCACGAAGAACUCCGAUUGCGAAGGCAGUUCACUGGACUGCAACUGACACUGAGGCUCGAAAGUGUGGGUAUCAAACAGGAUUAGAUACCCUGGUAGUC